rnacentral:lncRNA from 1 species
ACAUAUAAAUAUAAAAUUAAAUCAAUUUAGCUUUUAAGAUACAACAUGUGGUAUUUAUUAAACACUUUAGUGUUGUAUCUUUUAAGUUACAACUAUUUAACAUUAAUUCCAAACAAGUUCUAAAUAGAAUGAAAUGUGGCCUAUCACAUUCUUGCUCUUAUUGCCAUUUGGGUACAGAACAAGUUUCCUGCAAUAAUCAAUCAACAUUAGCUAAUAAUACACUAACAUUAUAAUUCAAUUUAAUUGCGUUAAUAUAUGUGUAAAUACCACUUGUAGCCUCAACUGCUUUUUCCCCUAAGUAACGAAAAUGAUUUUAAAAAUAUUGAUUUCUAAGAAGGUGAGAAAAGGUUGAACCUACACGCCAUCUUUGUUAACAAAGACACUUUCCAUUUCAAAAGUUAUCCAAAAAGUUGUCGAUUUUUUUCUUUUUAAAAAAACUUCGACAGGACGAAGUCGUUUUAAGUAAAAGAAAAAGAAAAUUACCGGGAAGUAAUAACUUAGUUGAGUACGAGCAUUUCUCCUCCCAAUUAUUUUCUUCCAAGAAUUUUUGUUUUUUAAUUUUUAUGGUGCGGUAACUUUUUUGGUAAAAUUUUCAGAGGUAGUUAAAGGCUUUAUGUUUUUACUUUUUCAUAUCGACAAUAACAAAAAGAUUAAAAAAAAUGAUUGAAUUUGAAAAGCACAAAACAAAGAAAAAGUAAAGAAAGAUCCUUCCCGAGGCUAUUUGACUUCUUUGACCAUUUCUUUUUUUAUCCACUAGGCACCACAGUUCAAUAAAAUACGAGAGCAUAGCUGUCUCAGACUCUCAGUUCAUUUUUUUUUUUUACGAGUUGAUUAAAAAAAU